CCCCAUUCUCCCCACGCACCCCCAGCCCCUGAAAAGAGGGGAAGGGAGGGGUUUUACAGUUCAUGGUUAUCACCCUCCUCUACGGUAAAUGUCCUAGAGGUAGAAGGGGUACAGUCUCUGUCUGCUGGCGGGGACAGGGGGUAUCCAAGAGAAGGAGGCGGCGGGGCUGAAUGGCACCAUAGUCUAUGCUGAUGGAGAUUGCGGCUCAGAACGAAGCGAACAUCAGCUGUGAACCUUAAUGCAUCCAGCAUUGGUAGAAGGUUUAGUAGUGCUGUGUCACUGGGAUCGCUGAACCAGGACUUUAUAGUAAUAGCAUUAUCUGGGUGACUUCUGUAUGCUCCAGGCAAGUUGUCCAGAAUAACCACGCUGGAGAGAUCACUGUGUACAACAGACAGAUCUUUGAUAUAACUGCCCAGUUCCAAUGUUAAGUGCUGUCUGUAAAAACGUCUUCUGAGUACUCCCCUAUUGUUAUCUAGUUUAUCGGCCACAGCAGAGCCAUAAAUCUCCAUGCUGGCUGUGAAUACUACCAGCUUGUACCACUGACUGACCACAUCCAGGAAGA